rnacentral:rRNA from 1 species
UACGUAGGGACCAAGCGUUGUUCGGAUUUACUGGGCGUAAAGGGCGCGUAGGCGGCGCGGUAAGUCACUUGUGAAAUCUCUGAGCUAAACUCAGAACGGCCAAGUGAUACUGCAGUGCUAGAGUGUGGAAGGGGCAAUCGGAAUUCUUGGUGUAGCGGUGAAAUGCGUAGAUAUCAAGAGGAACACCUGAGGUGAAGACGGGUUGCUGGGCCAACACUGACGCUGAUGCGCGAAAGCCAGGGGAGCAAACGGG